AUUGAACGCUGGCGGCAGGCCUAACACAUGCAAGUCGAGCGAGCGGCGGACGGGUGAGUAAUGUAUGGGGACUGCCCGAUAGAGGGGGAUAACUACUGGAAACGGUGGCUAAUACCGCAUACUAUCGGAUAACCCAUAUGGGAUUAGCUAGUAGGUGGGGUAAAGGCUCACCUAGGCGACGAUCUCUAGCUGGUCUGAGAGGAUGAUCAGAACCACUGGACCGGACACACGGCCCAGACACCCACGGAGGCAGAAGUUGGGGAUAUUGCACAAUGGGCGAAAACCUGAUGCAGCUACGCCGCGUGGGGGAUGAAGGCUUUCGGGUUGUAAACCUCUGUCGCUAUCGAACGGGUAGGUGGAGAAGAAGCGCCGGCUAACUACGUGCCAGCAGCCGCGGUAAUAC
rnacentral:rRNA from 1 species